rnacentral:rRNA from 1 species
AGCUCCAAUAGCGUAUAUUAAAGUUGCUGCAGUUAAAAAGCUCGUAGUUGGAAUAUGAUGAUGAUCGCCUGGGAUUUGGGAAACCGAGUGCUAGGCCUUUUCGUCAAGACGAGGCCAGGGGUUUCGGCCCCUGCCUCAAACUACCUCGAAUAAAUAAGAUUGUUCAAGGAACGCCGGUCGGCGGGAAUUAUUAAGCUUGGAAUAAGAGAAAAUGGCUUGGCUUUAAGCUGUGUCGGCUUUGUUUAAAGUUAGCAAUGAUAAAUAAGGAAGGAAGGGGAUGUGUGUAUUGGAGAGCUAGAGGUGAAAUUCUAAGAUUUCUUCAAGACAAACAAAAGCGAAAGCUCUCAUCAAUAACUUGCCUA